GACGAACGCUGGCGGCGUGCCUAAUACAUGCAAGUAGAACGCUGAAGGAGGAGCUUGCUUCUCUGGAUGAGUUGCGAACGGGUGAGUAACGCGUAGGUAACCUGCCUGGUAGCGGGGGAUAACUAUUGGAAACGAUAGCUAAUACCGCAUAAGAGUAGAUGUUGCAUGACAUUUGCUUAAAAGGUGCAAUUGCAUCACUACCAGAUGGACCUGCGUUGUAUUAGCUAGUUGGUGGGGUAACGGCUUACCAAGGCGACGAUACAUAGACGACCUGAGAGGGGGAUCGGCCAGACUGUGACUGGGACACGGCCCGGACUCCUACGGGAGGCAGCAGUAGGGAAUCUUCGGCAAUGGACGGAAGUCUGACCGAGCAACGCCGCGUGAGUGCAGAAGGUUCUCGGAUCGUAAAGCUCUGUUGUAAGAGACGAACGAGUGUGAGAGUGGAAAGUUCACACUGUGACGGUAUCUUACCAGAAAGGGACGGCUAACUACGUG
rnacentral:rRNA from 1 species